GGAGGAUGCGAGCGUUAUCCGGAUUUAUUGGGUUUAAAGGGUGCGUAGGUGGUUAAUUAAGUUAGUGGUUAAAUAUUUGAGCUAAACUCAAUNGUGCCAUUAAUACUGGUAAACUGGAGUACAGACGAGGUAGGCGGAAUAAGUUAAGUAGCGGUGAAAUGCAUAGAUAUAACUUAGAACUCCGAUAGCGAAGGCAGCUUACCAGACUGUAACUGACGCUGAUGCACGAGAGCGUGGGUAGCGAACAGGAUUAGAUACCCUGGUAGUCCACGCCGUAAACGAUGCUCACUGGUUCUGUGCGAUAUAUUGUACGGGAUUAAGCGAAAGUAUUAAGUGAGCCACCUGGGGAGUACGUCGGCAACGAUGAAACUCAAAGGA
rnacentral:rRNA from 1 species